GGGUUGUGAGGUUAAGCGACUAAGCGUACACGGUGGAUGCCCUGGCAGUCAGAGGCGAUGAAGGACGUGCUAAUCUGCGAUAAGCGCCGGUAAGGUGAUAUGAACCGUUAUAACCGGCGAUUUCCGAAUGGGGAAACCCAGUGUGAUUCGUCACACUAUCAUUAACUGAAUCCAUAGGUUAAUGAGGCGAACCGGGGGAACUGAAACAUCUAAGUACCCCGAGGAAAAGAAAUCAACCGAGAUUCCCCCAGUAGCGGCGAGCGAACGGGGAGGAGCCCAGAGCCUGAAUCAGCAUGUGUGUUAGUGGAAGCGUCUGGAAAGGCGCGCGAUACAGGGUGACAGCCCCGUACACAAAAGCGCAUGUGCUGUGAGCUCGAUGAGUAGGGCGGGACACGUGGUAUCCUGUCUGAAUAUGGGGGGACCAUCCUCCAAGGCUAAAUACUCCUGACUGACCGAUAGUGAACCAGUACCGUGAGGGAAAGGCGAAAAGAACCCCGGCGAGGGGAGUGAAAAAGAACCUGAAACCGUGUACGUACAAGCAGUGGGAGCACAGGUUUACCUGUGUGACUGCGUACCUUUUGUAUAAUGGGUCAGCGACUUAUAUUCUGUAGCAAGGUUAACCGUAUAGGGGAGCCG
rnacentral:rRNA from 4 species